CAACUAACAAGAAGCAGUAUCUGUAUCCAUAUAUACACAAAAAACAACACCAAUUUUGAACCAGCUAGCUAGCUAGCCAUCUUAUACAAUGAAUUCCCGAAAGAUGACCAUUCAGAAUGUUCUUGCCCCCACAACAAGGCCACCCCCUAAGAGUAGUAACUCCAAACCCCCCAGCACUGGAGGGAUAACCAUUCAGAAGGUUCUUGCCCCUACAACAAGGCCACCUCCUAAGGGUAGUAACUCCAAACCUCCAACCUCUGGGACCAAGUUGCCCACAAUCCAAAAGGUUUUUUACUAGGAGAUGAUUCUACCAUGUUUGUUACAUGACUGAUUGAUGUAUAAUGAAGUUGGAAUUAGGAGCUUUGUUGGAGGUGAAAAGGAUGAAAGUAGUGUACAAUCUAGGGAUCGGAGAACAAAUCAGCUCAGCCAGUGCAUUUGUUAAUUUAUUGUAUUUGUUAAUUUAUUGUAUUUGUUUAAUUUAUUGAUCACGAAGAAAUGUCAUGUACGAAAAAAUAUAAUGUUAAGCAUUUUAUAUGAUA